GACGAACGCUGGCGGCGUGCUUAACACAUGCAAGUCGAACGGAAAGGCCCUGCUUUUGUGGGGUGCUCGAGUGGCGAACGGGUGAGUAACACGUGAGUAACCUGCCCUUGACUUUGGGAUAACUUCAGGAAACUGGGGCUAAUACCGGAUAGGAGCUCCUGCUGCAUGGUGGGGGUUGGAAAGUUUCGGCGGUUGGGGAUGGACUCGCGGCUUAUCAGCUUGUUGGUGGGGUAGUGGCUUACCAAGGCUUUGACGGGUAGCCGGCCUGAGAGGGUGACCGGCCCCAUGGGGCCUGAGACAGGGCCCGGACCCCUCCGGGGGGAAGGGGGGGGAAAUUUUGCGAAAGGGGGGGAGGCAGGAUGGAGGAACGCCGGUGGGGGGAGGACGGCUUUGGGGUUGUAAACCGCUUUCGCCUGUGGCGAAGGGUGAGUGAGGGAAAUGGGAAAAAAAGCACCGGCUAACUACGU
rnacentral:rRNA from 1 species